UCUCCGUAGGUGAACCUGCGGAGGGAUCAUUACAGAGUUCAUGCCCUACCGGGUAGAUCUCCCACCCUAUGUUAUUAUUACUUUGUUGCUUUGGCGGGCCGUUAGGCUCCGGCCCGACUACCGGCCCCGGCUGGUAAGCGCCCGCCAGAGGACCCAAGACCCUGAAUAUUAGUGUCGUCUGAGUACUAUAUAAUAGUUAAAACUUUCAACAACGGAUCUCUUGGUUCUGGCAUCGAUGAAGAACGCGGC
rnacentral:misc_RNA from 1 species